GUGCUCACUUUGGCAGCACAUAUACUGAAACUGGAAUGAUACAGAAAAGAUUAGCAAGGCUCCUGUGCAAGGAUGAUACCCAAAUUUGUGAAACAUUCCAUAUUUAA
rnacentral:snRNA from 1 species